GGGUGCUUGGCCGAUGGAGGGCUGGCUGCGCGCCUUCGAGGAGCGCGCUGCGGCACGCAGCAGCCCAAGGAACUCGUCCCGAGCGGGUGGCGUCCG
rnacentral:tRNA from 1 species